CCCUUAGAUGCUCUGGGCCGCACGCGCGCUACAAUGAUGAAUUCAACGAGUUUAUAACCUUGGUUGAAAAGCCUGGGUAAUCUUUUGAACUUUCGUCGUGAUGGGGCUAGACCCUUGCAAUUAUUGGUCUCCAACGAGGAAUUCCUAGUAAACGCAAGUCAUCAGCUUGCAUUGAUUACGUCCCUGCCCUUUGUACACACCGCCCGUCGCACCUACCGAUUGAAUGGUCCGGUGAAAUCUUCGGAUUGAGACUUUGAUUUCUUCACGGAAAACGCUGUUUUAAAAAGUUGAUUAAACCUUACCAUUUAGAGGAAGGUGAAGUCGUAACA
rnacentral:rRNA from 1 species